rnacentral:rRNA from 1 species
GCGGGAAGUAGCUUGCUACUUUUGCCGGCGAGCGGCGGAUGGGUGAGUUUGCCUGGGAAAUUGCCCAGUCGAGGGGGAUAACAGUUGGAAGCGACUGCUAAUACCGCAUACGCCCUACGGGGGAAAGCAGGGGACCUUCGGGCCUUGGGCGAUUGGAUAUGCCCAGGUGGGAUUACCUUGUUGGUGAGGUAAUGGCUCACCAAGGCGACGAUCCCUAGCUGGUCUGAGAGGAUGAUCAGCCACCCUGGAAGUGAGACACGGUCCGGACUCCUACGGGAGGCAGCAGUGGGGAAUAUUGCACAAUGGGGGAAACCCUGAUGCAGCCAUGCCGCGUGUGUGAAGGAGGCCUUGGGGUUGUAAAGCACUUUCAGCGAGGAGGAAAGGUUGAUACCUAAGACGUAUCAACUGUGACGUUACUCGCAGAAAAAGCACGGGCUAACUCCGUGCCAGCGCCCGCGGUAAUACGGAGGGUGCAAGCGUUAAUCGGAAUUACUGGGGCGUAAAGCGCAUGCAGGCUGUUGGAUAAGUUAGAUGUGAAAGCCCCGGGCUCAACCUGCGAAUUGCAUUUAGAACUGUCCAGCUACAGUCUUGUACAGGGGGGUAAAAUUCCCGGUGUAGCG